CCCCGGUGUUGCAGUACCUUCCCCGGAGGGAGGGCAGGCGGGGCCCUGCCUGAGGGCAGCUGAGGGGCUGGGCGGGCUGUGAGCUCCAGGAAGCAGAGCAGGGGCCAAUCAGGAGCCAGAAGGCUGGCGGAGUGAUCCAAACCAGCGUCCUCAGAUGCACCCGGAAGGCCAAGGGGCAUAAACAGAACCGCAAACCAGAGACACGGCCAAUGGCACAGCUUCCGAGCUGGUCUAGCUGAGAAUGGGGUUAGGAAGACGUUGGGAGGCACCAGGUUGUUGCCAAGAGUGAGGCCAAAGUUCAUUGGUCUCUGAGUGCACGUGUGGGUCACGCUGACCCAGCUUAUGGACUUUGCACACCAUCCCUACGGAGAAUUGUGCCAAUAACGGCCCCCCAUAGAAUUGCCCCCACCCUGUGACUUUGUUCUUCUGCUAUCACCAGAAACCCAGCAUGAAAGACCACAGGGAGAGAAAGGCCUAGGCAUCUGAGCCAUCCUAGACCACCCACUGAGGGGGGCCAUCAGCAGACUGCAGCUACAUGAGUGGGAACAGCAGAGGAACCACCCAGCCAAACUCACGGAUCUGUGAGAAAUAACAGAUUCAUGGAUGAUCCUGUGAAUAACAGCUCCUGGUGGCGAAUUUGAAACUUUGUUUUUAAAGAUGACAGUUUGUCACGGACAAAGAUGAUCAGACCUUUAUCGUUGGGUAGAGAGGGCUGUCCACUCUUCUCUGAGAAGUCCCAGCAUUUUGGUCACAACACUGAGCCCUCCCAGCCGGCCGGCCAGUGGGGGCCACGUCCAGAGGCUGUGUCCCCAAACUACCCCUGAUCAAAACUGGCAGGCAGGGGAGACUCCAGGAUCGCCAGAGGGAGGUGGUCAUCUCUGAGGAGUGGUCUUGGGCCCGGUCCCCAACCUGCAUCUCCAAAGCCAGCACAGUUUCACUUCCACUGUAGGGUAAAAAUCAGCAGGUGUUAUGGGCUGAAAUGGUGUCCCCCAAAUUCACAUUUUGAAAUUUUAAACCCCUGGUACCUCAGAACAUGACUCUAUUUGGAGACAGGGUCUUUAAAGAGGUAAUCAAGGUAAGAUGAGGUCAUAGGGUGGGCCCUAAUCCAAUACAACUUGUGUCCUUAUGGGAAGAGGAGAUGAGGACGCAGACAGGCACAGAGGGAGCCACAUGAAGACAAAGAGGAGAAGAGAGGCCUCGGAAGACACCAACCCUGUCAACACCUUGAUCUCAGACUUGGAGCCCCCAGGACGGUGAGGAAAUCCAUUUCUGCUGUGGAAGCCAUCUCGACAGUGGUACUGUUAUGGCCUCCUGAGUGAACGAACACACCCAGUUUCCUAGAGACACACUUUAAUGUAAGAUGGACAAAAUGGCCUUUGUACACAGCAAAGACUAUUACCUACUGGUGGUGGCUCAGAGGUAUGGGGCUGGUGGUGGUUAUGGGGGCCUUGGGUACCCCUACCCCCUGAGGUGCCACCACCGCAGGCUGCAUGUUAGCAUCCCUGGCCUUUCCAGCAGGCAAGGUGGAGAAGUAAUGUCAGCACCCACCCAGCAUGAGGAGCACCCAGGACUUGCCUCGCCAUGUGGCUUCCAAUUAACCUGUCAAGACUGCAGCCCUGUGUGAAGCUGCAGCCGGGCCCUGAGGCCUCCACCUGGUCUUGCCAGGCCUGUCUCCAGGGACCAUUUGGGACCCUGACACUCCUCUCAGUUCUCUGACUCCCAGACCACCUCUCCCAUCUCUGUCACCAGAGAUUCUGGCUGCUAAGUUUUGACUCCCCACCGCCAUCAGACCCUGGAGCGUGGUUGCUGGUCUGGGGGAGAUUGCCCGUCUCCACAUCCAUGCCCUUAGCCAAGCUUGAAGCCCUGGGCAUUCUUCCUCUCAGAGGCCACACCCCUCAAACGUAUCCAAAAGCAGCCACGUGCCACAUCACAUAUAAUUUUCAUAAACUAUAGGCGCUGAGUUGCAAUUGUCUAGUCAACCUUUUGUAGACAUUUAAUCAUUUCAUCCUUACAGCAUACUUUCCUAAUUUUAGAGCUGGUAAUGAUCCUGGCUGUGGCUCAGGUGUUUCCAUGGAUGUUUGAAAAGCUGGCUGGCCCUGGGCACCAGCUGUGGACCCAGCUGUGGGUAGUCCCGAGGGCCCUUCCCAGGAGGUACCAGCAUGCACUGGGUGUGCCUGACCCAAGAGGAGCCCUCCCAGCACCUGGUGGCCAGUUGCGAUGCCCCACCCCCCUUCCAGUGCUGCAGGGGAGAAGGAGGGGCACUUUUC
rnacentral:lncRNA from 1 species